UACAGAGGUCCCAAGCGUUGUUCGGAUUCAUUGGGCGUAAAGGGUGCGUAGGCGGCGCGGUAAGUCGGGUGUGAAAUCUCGGAGCUUAACUCCGAAAUUGCAUUCGAUACUGCCGUGCUUGAGGACUGGAGAGGAGACUGGAAUUCAUGGUGUAGCAGUGAAAUGCGUAGAGAUCAUGAGGAAGACCAGUGGCGAAGGCGGGUCUCUGGACAGUUCCUGACACUGAGGCACGAAGGCCAGGGGAGCAAACGGG
rnacentral:rRNA from 1 species